UUACUCUCCAUUUCUAUUUGAUUAUUUUCAUAUUUCUCCCUUUCCUUUCAUUAUUGUUACUUAAAAUAUUUCUAUUCUUAUUUAUAUUGUUUCUUAUUAUGUGUUUUUUUUUUUUUUUUCAGUGAACUCCUGUGCUUAAGCAAUCUUCCUGCCUUGGCCUCCCAAAGUUCUGAGAUUAUAUGGAUAUAUGAAGUCUGGGGGUAAGACCUGCAGUAAUUUCCCUUAAGUUACUGAUCGUGGAGCCUCUCCAGGACUACAGGCUCUUCCUCAGCGGCUGCCAAGCUCCUCUUAGGGAAGCCGGGGAACUUCUGAAUGCCCAAGUAUACCCUGCUGGAGGCACAGGAAUCCUCUUGGAAGCUUUGUCUGGACAUGCUUUAAUACCGUCCAUUUCUACUGUUGCCAUACCAAGCCGCUACUGGUCACCACUGUAAAUCUUUCUGCUGUUUUUUAUAACCACAAAGUAUAGCACAAUUUCUGUCUGCUUUCAUGCACCUAAAACUAUUGUGGUUUUUGCCUUUCCCGGUCUCAUUAGCUAAAACAAAGAGUUGAUAAAGGCACAGGCCCUUUCUCAAGAAACAAAAUGUUGUCUGUCUUCUUUCUGCAGUGAAACAGAAUGUAAAGUCCAGAAAUAAACGUGUAAUUAAAUAAUUGUGUUUUUUUUGACAAAGAUACUAACACAAUUUAAUAGGGAAACGGCAGCAUUCUCAAUAAAUCAUGUGAAACUAGAUACUAAUUCACUCAAUAAACAAGGGUUAAUUUGAGAUGUAGCAUAGGUCUGAACAUAAAAGUUUCUAGGAGAAAAUGUUGGUGACUGUUUUUCAGGCUGUGGGAUGAGCAAAUAUUUCUUACACUGAACACAAAAAGCACUAACCACAAAAAAUACCCAAAAAUAUUUUUUAAUCAAAAUUAAAAUAAUUUGCUCAUAAACACCAGUAAGACAAUGAAAAAGCAAGCUGCAUGCUGCUAAAAAAAAUUGACAGCACGUGUAUUGAUAAAAUG
rnacentral:lncRNA from 1 species